AUUGAACGCUGGCGGCAGGCCUAACACAUGCAAGUCGAGCGGAUGAAGGGAGCUUGCUCCUGGAUUCAGCGGCGGACGGGUGAGUAAUGCCUAGGAAUCUGCCUGGUAGUGGGGGAUAACGUCCGGAAACGGGCGCUAAUACCGCAUACGUCCUGAGGGAGAAAGUGGGGGAUCUUCGGACCUCACGCUAUCAGAUGAGCCUAGGUCGGAUUAGCUAGUUGGUGGGGUAAAGGCCUACCAAGGCGACGAUCCGACCUGGCCUGAGCGGAUGAUCAGUCACACUGGAACGGGGGCACGGGCCAGGCUCCUACGGGAGGCAGCAGUGGGGAAUAUUGGACGAUGGGCGAAAGCCUGAUCCAGCCAUGCCGCGUGUGUGAAGAAGGUCUUCGGAUGGUAAAGCGCUUUAAGUUGGGAGGAAGGGCAGUAAGUUAAUACCUUGCUGUUUUGAUGUUACCAACAGAAUAAGCACCGGCUAACUUCGUG
rnacentral:rRNA from 1 species